UCUCCUUUAUUCAAUGUCAAAUAAACUCUUUUUUUCUGUAAUUUCUUGCUCAGAAUUUGCUUACCCACGGGAUAAUUCUACUUGGAAGGAGGAAAAUGGGGAACUUUUGGUUAGAUUAGGUUGUACUUCUUGGCCAAAAAAUCAGCAAAUUUUUCCCCAAAUUAUGCGUAGCCUUCGGAUUCAUCUUAUAGAUAAUUCUUACAGGAUGGCAUUUUGGGGAAUAUUAUCCCCCAACUACAGCCGACUUUGUAGCCACGGGAUGCUUUUCUUCUUUGGUUGACUUUUAUAGAUAAAUUUGAGUCUUGGUUUUGAUUGUCAAAAUUCCUUUUUUUCCUAUUUUAUUAGUUUCAGUGUAGCUGAAUGUGUUCUUCUAAACUUUUAAUACAAAUUUAGCCCCAUUUUUAAAUAUGAUUACAACAUGUUUUGAUCCUUUCGAUAUUACUCUAAUGACUAAAAUAAGUUCUGGAGUAAUUUUUUUCAUUAUCUAAACAUUCAAUGCAUUGCUUUUUAGUUUUUUUUUUUCUCUUCUUAUUUUAUGACUGACGACAUGGAAAAUUUGUAGGAGAGUAUGGGAGGAUUUGGGUUUUUUUGAAUUUCCCUUCUCCAGAAUUCUGUUAUUUCUACUUGAAGUUGGCUUGAAGGUAAGAUUUUUUUCCCCUUUUCUAACUCUUAAGAAAUUAAGUGAAUGACUUCUCUUUAUGGGACAACCAUUCUACUAAAAGCAAUUUGUGUUCUUUGUUCUCUGUUUUACAGAUGGCUAGGUGCCAUGGAAGCAAUCAUUCUACUGAAAGCCAUUUUUACAUUUUCUUCUCUGUUGUACAAAUGUUCCUUUUCUUUCAUGUAAAAAAUAAUAUUCUAAGCUGAAGGUGAAUGAAUGUAAUCCCCAGAAACUAGUAUAUUCAUUGUAAAGGUGUAUGAAUUUAUACUUUUUAAAUGGAAAGGAUAUUAUGUAAUUUCAUUUAAAAAGUAAGGUUCUACCUUUGCUUCUUUAUUCUUACUCUUAUUGAUUAAAC
rnacentral:lncRNA from 1 species